rnacentral:rRNA from 1 species
AAGCUUACUCUAGCCCGACCACACAAAUCAGAAGAAAGCGUAAAAACCCACUAUUACCACUAAACCAAAACAUUUUCACUAAACCUAGUAUAGGCGAUAGAAAGGAUUACACCCGGCGCAAUAGAAAGUCGUACCGUAAGGGAAAGAUGAAAUAAUAAUGAAAAACAAAGCAACAAACAGCAAAGAUAAGCCCUUGUACCUCUUGCAUCAUGAUUUAGCAAGAAUAACCAAGCAAAAAGAAUUUUAGCUUGCCUUCCCGAAACCUAAGCGAGCUACUUGCGAGCAGCUACUUAUGAGCGAACCCGUCUCUGUUGCAAAAGAGUGGGAUGACUUGCUAGUAGAGGUGAAAAGCCAAUCGAGCUAGGUGAUAGCUGGUUGCCCGAGAAACGAAUCUAAGUUCCCUCUUGGUUGUCCUCCUUCCCGGACAUUAAACCCAAGCCCUACGUAGCAAACCAAGAGCUAUUUAAAGGAGGUACAGCUCCUUUAAAAAAGAACACAAUCUUCCCUAGAGGAUAACUGUCAACCCAUACAUCCGUAAACUGUAGGCCUUAAAGCAGCCACCAACAAAGAAUGCGUCAAAGCUCCUUACACAAAAAUAUAGACAUAACAUGACUCCCUUACCAUUAUCCGGCUAACCUAUCACAAUAGGAGAAUCAAUGCUAAAAUGAGUAACCAGGGACACCCCCUCUCAAGCGCAAACUUACAUCCCAACAUUAUUAACAAACCUCAAAAUAAUACCUCAACUCCAACAAGAUCAAGAUAUUGCAUUACACCUUGUUACCCCAACUCAGGAGCGCCUACUAGAACGAUUAAAAUCUGCAAAAGGAACUAGGCAAUUCCAGGGUCCGACUGUUUACCAAAAACAUAGCCUUCAGCCAAUCAAGUAUUGAAGGUGAUGCCUGCCCAGUGACACAACGUUUAACGGCCGCGGUAUCCUAACCGUGCGAAGGUAGCGCAAUCAAUUGUCCCAUAAAUCGGGACUUGUAUGAAUGGCUAAACGAGAUCCUAACUGUCUCUUGUGGAUAAUCAGUGAAAUUGAUCUUCCUGUGCAAAAGCAGGAAUAUAAACAUAAGACGAGAAGACCCUGUGGAACUUCAAAAUCAACGGCCACCACACACGAAACCAAAACCUACCUAGGCCCACUAUCAAUAGACACUGGCCCACAUUUUUCGGUUGGGGCGACCUUGGAGAAAAACAGACCCUCCAAAAACAAGACCACACCUCUUAACUAAGAGCAACCCCUCAACGUACUAAUAGUACCCAGACCCAAUACAAUUGACCAAUGGACCAAGCUACCCCAGGGAUAACAGCGCAAUCUCCUCCAAGAGCCCUCAUCGACGAGGAGGUUUACGACCUCGAUGUUGGAUCAGGACAUCCUGAUGGUGCAGCCGCUAUCAAGGGUUCGUUUGUUCAACGAUUAAUAGUCCUACGUGAUCUGAGUUCAGACCGGAGCAAUCCAGGUCGGUUUCUAUCUAUGACAAACUUCCCCUAGUACGAAAGGACCGGGAAAGUAGGGCCAAUACUACAAGCACGCCCCCUCUCAAGUAAUGAACACAACUAAAUUACUAAAAGACCACCCAACCCUAAUCCUAGAAAAGGAUCG